rnacentral:tRNA from 1 species
GGAGGAGUACCCAAGUGGCUGAAGGGUCCGGCUUCGAAUACCGGUAGGUCGGUAACACCGGCGCGUAGGUUCAAAUCCUAUCUCCUCCGCCA